rnacentral:rRNA from 1 species
UGUGGAGCCGUCCUUGAAAUACCACCCUUGUAGUGUUGAUGUUCUAACGUCGACCCCUAAUCGGGGUUGCGGACAGUGCCUGGUGGGUAGUUUGACUGGGGCGGUCUCCUCCCAAAGAGUAACGGAGGAGCACGAAGGUGGGCUAAUCACGGUUGGACAUCGUGAGGUUAGUGCAAUGGCAUAAGCCCGCUUGACUGCGAGAAUGACAAUUCGAGCAGGUGCGAAAGCAGGUCAUAGUGAUCCGGUGGUUCUGAAUGGAAGGGCCAUCGCUCAACGGAUAAAAGGUACUCCGGGGAUAACAGGCUGAUACCGCCCAAGAGUUCAUAUCGACGGCGGUGUUUGGCACCUCGAUGUCGGCUCAUCACAUCCUGGGGCUGAAGUCGGUCCCAAGGGUAUGGCUGUUCGCCAUUUAAAGUGGUACGCGAGCUGGGUUUAGAACGUCGUGAGACAGUUCGGU